ACUCACUGGCAGCCUCUAGCGGGACUAGAUAUUUAUUCAUUGUUUAAGACCCAUGCGUUAUAUUUGCCAUGCAUCCAAUGACCCUGUUUUACUGCCUAGGCAUUUUCUUUGGCACGAUCUUCUUUCUUUUACCCAUCAUCAUGGCUGGUUGGAUAAUUGUAAAGCACAAACAAGGCAAAACUACAGAUGAAAAAUGUAAGGAGAGUAUCCAUUUACACCCUCAAGAAGACAGCGGUGUAAGUCCUCAAACUGUGCAAACAAAUCAGGAAAACAGCAGGUACCUAAUGUACAUAUUGAAUUCAUAAUGUUGUCAGUAACUCAGAGCGAAAGUGAGAACAGGAUGUGCCUAA